GCACUUCCCUUCUCCUACUUGAUACUUCUCUUCUUAUACAUCCAAAGACUGUGUUUGGCCUUUUAGCUAGCCACAGCAAUUCACUUGUAGUGCAUGUGCAACUGGUUAUCUACUAUGACUCUUAAAUCCUUUUCAGAGUCACUGCUUCCCAGGAUACAGUCCCUCGUCUUAUAAAUGGGACCUACGUUCUUUGUUCCUAGAUUACAACAACUAGCGGUCACCAAUGGUCUGUACCCAACUGCCAUGGAAAUUAAUGGGAAUCUAUCUUUUGUGUUCAGUGAGCAUUGAAUCAGGCCUUAUUUGAAUACAAAUUGCUCGCACGCAAUAUUAAGAAAAAGAAGUGUCUUCUUAAGGUCACACAGGCCAGGGCAGAGAAACAAUUAAAACAUAAGAAUGGCCAUACCGGAUCAGAAAAAUGGUCCUUCCAGCCCAGUAUCCUGUCUUCCGACAGUGGCCAAUGCCAGGUGAAAUCCAGAAACCGUGAUUCCAAUUCCUGUGCUCAAGCCACAACACUAUCUGUACUUGACUGACAGUAUCUGCCUGAAAACCCA